CUCCUCUUCCCCAAUGGUAGCUGAGACCCGAUCAUCAGAGUUCAUUCUCUGAUCCAGAAAUCUCUGCCAAUACUGACCAUCAGCCAUCAGGUGCUCAUCUAACACUUGGACUUUCUUUUAUUAUCAAGAAAAGUAAUAUCAAACACUUAGACACUAAAAAUGUUAAUCUUUGAUUAAAAUGCAACACAUCACAACACAUUUCCCUUCUCAUUCAUGUUGUAUGAUUAAAAAUCAAAAAGCCAAAGCUGAUGUCAGACAUCUUCAGGUGGGCGUCUUCAUCUUUCUGUUGAUGUUGGUCCCUUAUACAGGCGACAUUUUGAACGUUGUCUACAGAACAGCUGGUCCUCAACACAUCAGGUGGACUACUGAUGUGUUAAUUAACCAAUCAGAGGGGAUUAUUCUGCCCCUUUAUUCUGAUUUCUUUUGUUGAAGCUUUUCCUGGUUCCUUCCAGAUGAGCUCCGAUGAGCUCUGAUCACUUUCUUUUAUUGACUUUGAGCCACACCUCCUCCUGCUGAAGGAUGGAAGGAUGGCUGUGAUGGUCCUGCAUUAGGGUCUCCAGGCACCUUGGUCCCUCUGUAAAGCCUUCUCUGACUAAGGGGAAAAAAAGGUCUUGUAGGUCAUUUUAAUGUGUCACCUGUCAGUCCCAGUCUGGCCAGAGGUCAGUGGUCUGGCCCGUUCUGUGGUCCAGGAACGGGUCGAUCCGUCAUGAGCUCAUGGGGAGGAAAACUGGGAGUCAAAGUUACCAACAUGCUGAAUUAAAGGAGCUGAGGGAAGGAAAGAUCAGAUGUUAUCUUACCCUUUCACAAACAAUAGUAGAUCAAAACAAGUUCAUGUAGCUUAAAGAACUUUAGAUUAAAAUUUGAAUUUUAAACUUUGUCACAAAUCAUUGAAUUAUUCCAUCAUUUCAAACUUACCCAGUAAAUGUACUUCCUUAGUGUUCAGUACCCUUAUCACUUCUGCACCUGCAGAAAUCCAAACAAACUUCUCCUCAGCAGAGGACUGUGUGUGUCAGUGGGCUGCAGCAAUGUAAACAAGCACAGCCUUCUCUGUUGCUUCCACCAGACAUGAUGUGUGUGGAAGAAGAAUAUAGGCUUUCCAUCCGAUUUCAAGAACGAUGUUUCCAAGGCGAAGCAAAAUCAAAGAACCAGAAACAAGAGUUUCAUGAGGUGAAGAAACACCAAACCAGGGGUCCAAGAAGCUGAACCAUCAACAAACAUCAACAAAGCUGGUUUUUCCCAAACGCACAUCAGACAGUCAGGCUGAGGUGUUCAAACUUCAUCCAGAAGUCUAGCAGUCGUUUCUUUAGGUUGUUUAUUUAUUCUGCUCUCAAUUAUCAACCCAAAUUCCACAUGGACUGUUCCAGAUGGAAAAAUAAACAGCAUCUAUAUGGA